UUGAUUUUUUGUAAGAAAUACUCCACCUUAAGUAUAUUUGUUUUUUUUUCAAGUGGUCUUUUUAGCUUUUUUGCCUUGCUAUGCAUACUAUAUGAAGAAGAAUCUCAUGAAAAUUACAUCAGAAAUGGUUUUUAAGGCAGACAGUUAUUUAAAUAUAUACUGCGUGUUUGAUAAUGCGACUAAGGCUGUCCCAUAGAAUGAUAUGGAGGCAAAAAAUUUACAGAAUGAGGAGAAAAAUGUGUACAUGUGAAAUGUAAGAGGUGCAAAAGCUUGUGAUACCGACCCGUGAACCAUAUGCAUUUUUUGUUUUGUGCCUUAACUGACUGACCAUGUGUAGUAUCAGGGUUUUGUUUUUUUCUAUCAGAGAUCACUAAUAACUUCACAUCAACAAGUUGCCAACAUGUGACAUUUGAUAAGUUGACAUCAGGGUUAGCAGUGCUCAGACCUAUUGCCUAUGGCACUCAACCUCAGGCCGUGCCACUCGUGGAAACCAAUAUUUGUAUUGAAGUUUUUUGACAUUUAUUUUUACUCUUUAUGAAUGUUUUUUAUUCGUACAUAGAUGUGUAAUCGUCAUUUAAUAUGCAGAUAUCAAGCCAAACACUGACAGCGGAUCAGCUGAGGGUUGGAGGAAUGUAGUAACUCUGUUGUUUAUUGAUCAAGCCUUGCUACAGUGUCCAAGUUUCAUAAAUACAUAAAUGUUUUUUCAUUAUGUAACAAUUUAUCAAUUUUGCUUUAGUGGUAUGUGCAUCAGAUGCUUUAAACUAAUCCAAAUUUUUCUACACUUUGAUCUGUUAGCUCUAUCAUAACAUGGGCCGAGACCCUUUCCCACUGCACCACUGUACUGUCUCAGGCAUCAAUCCUUGGUUCAAAACCAACCACAUUUCAUGUCCUUAUUGGUGACCAAUUUUUUUAUUUACAGAACAAAUUUUUUUUAUCCAUAUUGUAUCUAGUCAUAUUUAAAUGCCAAAUAUUAUCUCUGCUCCAUCCCCUUUCCUGGGGAAUGUUAUUUGUGUAUUGGCCAUUUUUACAAUUGCUUUGUACUAUUAUAAACAUAUAAUAAGUGUAAAUGUGUACCGGUACUUUGUUGAAUGACACAUCUUGAACUGACACAUCAUGACAUGGUGGCUGUUCUAGUGAGAGUGGUGGGCAGGCUUAUCUCCUGAUCACCUGGGUAGUCUGAUUGACUUCUGUGUGUGGCCAAGAACCACUUGGUGGUGCCUCUAGUGCCGCCCAUCUCCCAUAACACUAGGUGGCUGCUCUCACUGGACCUCCGUCGUGUGGUGAUUGUGUCCCUUGUUUUCUCUCAAGGCAAAUCUUAUGGAUUUUUUAAUUAAGUCUUAUUUUGGGAAGGGAAAAACUUAAUAUUGGAUUUACAUCAAAGUUAGAGAUCUGAAAUGAAGCUAUUGUCUUCCAGGGUUUUUAUGACCAAUGUUUUUCCUUUACAUUAAAUGUCUUUAUUUAUUGUUGUUUGUAAUUAUUUAUGCAGUGGAGUUUGUUUUGUUAACUGUAUGGAUAUGGUCCUCUGUAAUUUCUAUUUGACUGGACUCACAGGCUUCACACAAAAUCUCAGUGAAACAGCUGAUCCAGCACAAAAUCUCAGUGAAACAGCUGAUCCAGCACAAAAUCUCAGUGAAACAGCUGAUCCAGCAGGCUUAUUACUCAUCAACAACGUUAGGCAGAGGAAGCAGGCUAUAGCUCUUCUACAAUGUAAGGCAGAGGGAAGCUUAGCUCCGGGUUGGAUGACGCUUACCUCUGGGAGGGAAACAAACAAAAUACAUGUAAUAGUUUUCCUUGUUUUGGUAACAAAUUCGAUAGAAGAAAAACUAAGAAAAACUAACCAUGACAAAGGGAGAACAUACAAUAUUUCUCAUUCAUAAAAAUGGAGAUGUUUUUGAUCUCUUCUCUGGAUAUGAAGCUGUUGUAAGAACUGUCUGUGGUCCAGAGCUGUAGACAUUACAGGGGGCACCUGUUGGCUAUGAGUAUUGUGCAAUAACUAAAGAUAUUGUGACAGAACUGUCGUGUGCAAGUAAUAAAUAUAUUUUCCUAUG
rnacentral:sRNA from 1 species